GGAGAGGUGGCUGAGUGGUUGAAAGCGGCAGAUUGCUAAUCUGUUAUACAUUUUUAUUAUUGUAUCGAGGGUUCAAAUCCCUUCCUCUCCU
rnacentral:tRNA from 1 species